rnacentral:rRNA from 1 species
AGUGAACGCUGGCGGCGUGCCUAAUACAUGCAAGUCGAACGGAGUGGCGCACGGGUGAGUAAUGUAUAGCUAAUCUGCCCUACACUAGAGGACAACAGUUGGAAACGACUGCUAAUACUCUAUAGUGUAGGAUGAGGCUAUAUUGUAUCAGCUAGUUGGUGAGGUAAAGGCUCACCAAGGCUAUGACGCAUAACUGGUCUGAGAGGAUGAGCAGUCACACUGGAACUGAGACACGGUCCGGAAUCCUACGGGAGGGAGCGGUAGGGAAUAUUGCUCAAGGGGGGAAACCCAGAAGGAGCAACGGCGCGUGAAGGAUGACACUUUUCGAAGAGUAAACUCCUUUUGUUAGGGAAGCGGUACCUAACGAAUAAGCACCGGCUAACUCCGUGCCAGCCGCCGCGGUAAUUC